UUAAUGAGAGUUUGAUCCUGGCUCAGGACGAACGCUGGCGGCGUGCCUAAUACAUGCAAGUAGAACGCUGAUGUUUGGUGUUUACACUAGACUGAUGAGUUGCGAACGGGUGAGUAACGCGUAGGUAACCUGCCUCAUAGCGGGGGAUAACUAUUGGAAACGAUAGCUAAUACCGCAUAAGAGUAAUUAACACAUGUUAGUUAUUUAAAAGGAGCAAUUGCUUCACUGUGAGAUGGACCUGCGUUGUAUUAGCUAGUUGGUGAGGUAAAGGCUCACCAAGGCGACGAUACAUAGCCGACCUGAGAGGGUGAUCGGCCACACUGGGACUGAGACACGGCCCAGACUCCUACGGGAGGCAGCAGUAGGGAAUCUUCGGCAAUGGACGGAAGUCUGACCCAGCCACGCCGCGUGAGUGAAGAAAGUUUUCGGAUCGGAAAGCUCUG
rnacentral:rRNA from 1 species